AAGAGCAAAAGAGACGGAUCUCAGUCACAUGACCAGAACCGACAGCACGGCGACGCCAACAAACUCUCACAUGGGUCGCAUUACAGAAGCUCUCAGAAUCCUCCUCUGUUUUCUUUCUGUGUAAAUAACAUUUUGUAACAGUUAUAAUUCAUCUGCUAACAGAUAUUUGAGCUGACCUCCAUUUCUUCUGAUUGCAUGAAGAAAGGAGCCGGGCUUUAUGCAACCAGAUGAGGAAUCUGGGUGAAGGUUCAUCGACACGGUGAGAAGAGCUUAGAGGGAGAAAACUGGCUGGAAGAGACGGUGACUCUGCUUUUAUGUCACAAAAAGCUCUUUCUGUUCCACAGAAGCAUUUAUUCUGGCUGAUUAGAGCGGCUGUGCAGCCUGUGCAGAGGAAUGCUGCCUGUUUAAUCUCAACCUCCAAGAACAAUGUGUUCCCGCUGGAUGUUCUGGCACCCAACUUUACAGCCAAAAAGAAAAAAAACGGAUUCAUUAUGAAACGGCCUCAUUACAACCUUUAAAGAUGUGCCUUGUCUUAAAGUAUUCAUAGCCCUAAAAUGUUCCUGUAUUUUGUCACAUUAUAACCACAAAUUUCAGUGUGUUUUACUGGGUUCUUAUGAGGUGAGAUCAGCAAGAAAAAUGGAACAUAAUAGUGAAGCAGAAGGAAAAUAAUUCACACUUUUCAAAAAUCCAUCAACAAGCUAAACCUCAGGCAAAGGUGGAGAAUAUUUUUAAUAUCAAUUUUCAAGUCUUUCCACAGAUUCUCAUCUAGAUUUAUCAUUUUGAAAUUAAGAUUAAUGUAGAAACCUAGUAAACAAAUACACACUUUGUUGCAUCUAUGUUUUUUUUUAUUUUAAGGCUUUAUUUGUCAAAACCUUCCAUUCUAAUGAAUAAUAUAAUAAGUUAUUAAUGUCUGAUUUAUUCUAGAACUUUUUGGAAGGUGAACCUUUCAGUCUCAAGUUUUUUGUGUAAGUUUUCAUCUUCUAGUAUUUGUCUUCAUUCUCCAAUCAACUCAGCUCUCCUGCUACAGAAAGAAAUCCCCACAGCAUGACGCUGCCUCCACUGUGUUUCACUCAGGGUGGGGUACCUUUAGUGGGACACUGUGAUGGUUUGACCGGUGUUUUCCACACGUUUCCUUCAGUUCCAUAUGUUUGCCGUGUCCCCGACUCAACCCUGGACUUUAAUGAGUAAGGCUACGUCUUGAUGCAACGCGAUGACAUGGCAACACAACAACAAAUCAACGCGACAACAAAACUACAUGUCAACAUGUAAACAUGUCCACAUGACAACAGGCAAACGCGUCGUCAUGUUGACAGCGUGUCAACAUGACGACGCGUUGACACAUCAACAUGAAGUCUCUUUAACUGGAGCAAGGAGAACAAACUCUCCUGUUUGUUCUCAAACAGGAGAGUUUGUUUGAGGAUUGUUGCAGAGGAUCUGACAGAACAGCAGGAACUAAAACUAAAUCUAAUCACACAGCAUUUAUCUUUCUGUCUUGAUUUUUCACCUUACCAAACAUUUAUGUGGUUAAAAUGAUGUAAAAAGGAAAGAAAGGGCAGUAAACUGCCACAGAAAGGUGAAGACAGAAGCUCCUCCACUCUUGUGGGAUCAGCAACGUCAGCACAAAAUAACUGGAAAACCCUGACUAGCACGGAACUUUUGUGUUCAGUGGGAAGGCCCUUCAUUCCCAGGCCAGGUGAACCUGUAGCGGUGGUGGAUGUUUCAGCUCCGAUCAGCAGUUAGUGAAACGUUACACCCCGGAGCACACAGGUUAUGCCUCUGAUUUACUCAUUUGUUUUGGCUCUAGCGUCUGAUUUACAACACCUCACUGCUGCAUCAGAAGCGUCACGGAAAUGGGGUCAUGUUUUGACGUUGGGAUUAUGAACAACCAUGUAAUAGUAAUAAAUAUUUGUAGGCGCUGGAUUCAAGAAGUGAGACUCAGCAGAAACGUUGGAUUCUGUAGCACUGAAUCUUCUCUAUUUGGAUGAAAAUAACAUCUAAAAUUUAAAUAUAAAUCUGGAUUGUUUUCAUUUUGCAGCAUGAACAAUUAAAAACGCAAUAUUACUGAAUCCCAUUUGAAUUCAGAAUAUUACUUCUCUGAUAUGAAAAGAAUGAAACAAAACUGUUUAUGUUAUAAUCUUGUACAGUAUGCUAUUAUUAUUAAUAUUGUUUAUAUAUUUUUUUAAACACUUUUUGAUCUUUCUUGUGAGCCUUUAUGUCUUUGAAUGUAACAAUAAGGGAUAUUUCUACUCUAAAAUGUCAAGAUAUUGCUUUUCCAGACUCAAAUCAAGUUUUCCAUCAAUUUUUGGGAGCAAAGACUGAAAACAUAACUAUUUUCCACACUUAGCAGGACCAGGAAAAUACAUUCAAUAUUUUCCAGACUUAAUGUACCUCACUGAAUCAGUGGCACACAGUCUUCACUGCUAGAACUAAUAAUAAUUAAUCUGGCCACUUCGAGCAGCCCUGUUACCUUAUACCUUAGGCCGGCUGUGCCCAAGUGAAGCAGGAACUUCUGAACCAGAUCUAUUAGCAUCGCUGUUAUCUCAGCCAGUAAUAUCAAUUUUAUUGAAUUCUAUUUGUUUGUAAAGUUAACUCUCAGACAUUAGAUUUACUAAAUCUUGUCUGUCUCUGAAUAUAGAUUUCCAUUAUGUGUGCAAAACUUUGUUGAUAUUCCACUAAAAUCAAAAAGACAUAAUUUUUCAAUGGCGUUUCCAUUAAAAAAGAAAUGCAAUUAAAAUCGCACAUGAAUAAGUUUCUUCACGUGAUAAGUUGUUAAAAAACAUGCCACACCAUCGUCAUCCUACCACUUCCUGUCUUCUUUUUCGUGGUUUCUGUCAGUAGUAACAUCCGGUUGUGAUUCGAAAAAAGUGUUUCUAUUGCAGCUUUGCGAAAUACAUUAAUUUAGAUCAGUGGUUCUUAACCUGGGUUCGAAUGCGCAUAUGAAACUGGGGGGGUCGGAACCUCAAAAAAGGUUAAGAACCACUGAUUUAGAUACACCUGAAAAAAACCUAAUGCAAAAACUUUAUGUAUAAAAAUGGGAGUGUAAUGCAAAAUUGUGGAGUUUCUAUUAAGUAGAUUUAUUUUCGAAAUGUUAAAUGGAAACACAGCUUGUGUUUCUGUCAUGAAUUUUAAAUGAUUGACAGUUUCAUGUUCCUCUCAGUCUUUUCACCCAAAUACUUCAUUAAAACUUCCACCAGUGAUUCCACACCUCUCUCCGGUCUGUCAAAGUUCAGCACUGACUCAUGAGGACAGCCCCAGUCCUUAUUAUAACCUCAGCUGUAGUGGGUUCCUUCAUAUUUAGCUC